GUUGUACUCCCUUCGUCUCAAAAUUCUUGUCUUAGAUUUGUCUAAAUACGGAUGUAUCAAGUCACGUUUUAGUAUUAGAUACAUUCGUAUCUAGACGAAUCUAAGACAAGAAUUUUAAGACGGAGGGAGUAAUAA
rnacentral:pre_miRNA from 1 species